GACGAACGCUGGCGGCGUGCUUAACACAUGCAAGUCGAACGCUGAAGCUCAGCUUGCUGGGUGGAUGAGUGGCGAACGGGUGAGUAACACGUGAGUAACCUGCCCUCUUCUUCGGGAUAACGCCCGGAAACGGGUGCUAAUACUGGAUAUUCACUGAUUCUCGCAUGGGGGUUGGUGGAAAGGUUUUUUCUGGUGGGGGAUGGGCUCGCGGCCUAUCAGCUUGUUGGUGGGGUGAUGGCCUACCAAGGCUUUGACGGGUAGCCGGCCUGAGAGGGUGACCGGUCACAUUGGGACUGAGAUACGGCCCAGACUCCUACGGGAGGCAGCAGUGGGGAAUAUUGCACAAUGGGCGAAAGCCUGAUGCAGCGACGCCGCGUGAGGGAUGGAGGCCUUCGGGUUGUAAACCUCUUUCGCUCAUGGUCAAGCCGCAGCUUUGGGUUGUGGUGAGGGUAGUGGGUAAAGAAGCGCCGGCUAACUACGUG
rnacentral:rRNA from 1 species